GGAGGCGUGGCCGAGUGGUUGAAGGCGGCGGUCUUGAAAACCGUUAUCCGUUUACGCGGAUCGUGGGUUCGAAUCCUACCGCCUCCGCCA
rnacentral:tRNA from 1 species